UUGUUAAUAUGGCUAGCCAGUGGAGGGAGGUGAAGCGAAAAGUGCCAGUGUUCGGCAGAAAAAAGUCAUUAUGUGGGAUAUUUAGCGAAAGAAAUGUUUAAGUUGCGAUAUGCAGGUGUAAAGAAGAGGUUCCAUAUAUUCAUUAAGGAAGUCGCCAAACUCUACCCACCUCCAUUUCCCUGAGAAUCCCCACAUCACAUCGGUAACACAUCAGUAGCUCGCCCGACUCAACCAAAGUGGAUGAGAUGGAGGGAGAGGAGUGUGAAGAGAAGCAUCCCUGAGAGGGUUGUGGCCAAGGAAGCAGUGCUGGGGUCUUGGAACCUGAACACAUGGAUGUUGGAUCCAGGCUCCUUCCAGGGGUUGUCGCCAUCAUCAAAGUGCAUGGGACAGCGGUCAUCUGGGAGAGGGAAAAGUACAGUGCAAGGUGUGAUGUGGUGAGGGUCAGUCCUGUCUCCUCCAUACAACAUCACAGUUACUAUCACUGCAAUUACUGCAAGCAAGUGUACUCACCCAACAUCUGUACUUGGAGUAUGGAUCAAGUUCAUCAUAGGUGAUCAGCACCUUACCUGGAGUCAUGCGGAACCUGAACGGACUGUUCUCUGGUGUCUUGAGCACGGAGCACUCAGGAGUGAUGGAGUGGCCCAUGUACAGGUCAUCAUCACGGUUACGCACAAAGCAGCGGUACUUCUCAUCCUUC